UGGGGUAUCGCCAAGCGGUAAGGCAGCGGGUUUUGAUCUCGCCAUACCUAGGUUCGAAUCCUAGUGCCCCAGCCA
rnacentral:tRNA from 1 species